rnacentral:rRNA from 1 species
GAGUUUGAUCGUGGCUCAGGACGAACGCUGGCGGCGUGCCUAACACAUGCAAGUUGAGCGACGAACCGGGGCUUGCCCCGGGGCAAAGCAGCGAACGGGUGAGUAACACGUGGGCAACCUGCCCCCGAAGACUGGGACAACCCGAGGAAACUCGGGCUAAUACCGGAUGUGCCCUGCGAGCAUAAGCUCGUCGAGCAAAGGUAGCUUCGGCCUCCGCUUUGGGAGGGCCCGCGGCCCAUUAGCUUGUUGGUGAGGUAACGGCUCACCAAGGCUGCGAUGGGUAGCUGGUCUGAGAGG